GCUUGCUCCCUGAUGUUAGCGGCGGACGGGUGAGUAACACGUGGGUAACCUGCCUGUAAGACUGGGAUAACUCCGGGAAACCGGGGCUAAUACCGGAUGGUUGUUUGAACCGCAUGGUUCAGACAUAAAAGGUGGCUUCGGCUACCACUUACAGAUGGACCCGCGGCGCAUUAGCUAGUUGGUGAGGUAACGGCUCACCAAGGCGACGAUGCGUAGCCGACCUGAGAGGGUGAUCGGCCACACUGGGACUGAGACACGGCCCAGACUCCUACGGGAGGCAGCAGUAGGGAAUCUUCCGCAAUGGACGAAAGUCUGACGGAGCAACGCCGCGUGAGUGAUGAAGGUUUUCGGAUCGUAAAGCUCUGUUGUUAGGGAAGAACAAGUGCCGUUCAAAUAGGGCGGCACCUUGACGGUACCUAACCAGAAAGCCACGGCUAACUACGUGCCAGCAGCCGCGGUAAUACGUAGGUGGCAAGCGUUGUCCGGAAUUAUUGGGCGUAAAGGGCUCGCAGGCGGUUUCUUAAGUCUGAUGUGAAAGCCCCCGGCUCAACCGGGGAGGGUCAUUGGAAACUGGGGAACUUGAGUGCAGAAGAGGAGAGUGGAAUUCCACGUGUAGCGGUG
rnacentral:rRNA from 1 species